rnacentral:rRNA from 1 species
UGGGGAAUAUUGGACAAUGGGCGAAAGCCUGAUCCAGCCAUGCCGCGUGUGUGAAGAAGGUCUUCGGAUUGUAAAGCACUUUAAGUUGGGAGGAAGGGCAUUAACCUAAUACGUUAGUGUUUUGACGUUACCGACAGAAUAAGCACCGGCUAACUCUGUGCCAGCAGCCGCGGUAAUACAGAGGGUGCAAGCGUUAAUCGGAAUUACUGGGCGUAAAGCGCGCGUAGGUGGGUUGUUAAGUUGGAUGUGAAAUCCCCGGGCUCAACCUGGGAACUGCAUUCAAAACUGACUGACUAGAGUAUGGUAGAGGGUGGUGGAAUUUCCUGUGUAGCGGUGAAAUGCGUAGAUAUAGGAAGGAACACCAGUGGCGAAGGCGACCACCUGGACUAAUACU